rnacentral:rRNA from 1 species
UACGAAGGGUGCAAGCGUUAAUCGGAAUUACUGGGCGUAAAGGGUGCGUAGGCGGUUCGUUAAGUCUGUCGUGAAAUCCCCGGGCUCAACCUGGGAAUGGCGAUGGAUACUGGCGAGCUAGAGUGUGUCAGAGGAUGGUGGAAUUCCCGGUGUAGCGGUGAAAUGCGUAGAGAUCGGGAGGAACAUCAGUGGCGAAGGCGGCCCCGGCCGCC